GGCCUUGAAGUAUAUUUAUAUAUUGAAUUGCAAAUUCGAAGAAGCAACUGAGUAGUUGCCAGGGCUU
rnacentral:tRNA from 1 species